CGUUUCUGUCUCUUUUGAAUUCAUCUGUCGAUCCAGCAGCUGUGUGCGUCCCGUGCACACUGUUUAACUACUUCAGAGUGGUCAGUAAAUACGAGGCCACAGUAUUGACUCUUCAAAGAGCAUGCUAGUUUAGAGGCAUGUUGUGACAUAUUUAAAUCGUGAUAUCCGGUAGCUAAAGAGCAACGUUAGUGUGUCCUGACGGGCCUCGACCAACCACGUGGGGAAGACUGACUGAUGGGCCAAAUGAAAGACAAAAUCAGCUUAAGUCUGGCAGCUCUCUGCACAAGUUUAAGAAGUCCCAUAUUGAAAAAUAUGGAUUCUCAUGUCCCUAGGAGGUCAAGGUGGGCCCGUAGAAGAUUAUGCAAAGUCAAGACUGAGCUGAAGAGGUGUGUGAGCUGCCUUAAGAAAUGUUGAGGCCAGAAAGAUACAUCAGCUGCUGAGCCUGUUGGAAUGAUGGUUGCCAUGCAGCGCUGUGUACACGCCACACUAAACCUCCUGACUGAAGACUGUUCAUUUCAUGCAGGUUAAGCUGGCUACUUCUGAAGAUUUGUGUGAAGAGUGAUUCAUCUUGUGGGGUGCAGCUACAAUGUUGGACAGAUCUUGUACCAUUCUGCUAGUCUGGUCCCGGAGUCUGCGGUCGAGUGAAUUUGACAGGUGGCAAGAGGCUUCUAGUCUGAAGAUGGAUGUCGCUGUUUAAUGGGAAAAAUAUUUUGCAGUUUAAAAAGCAUUCUGCAAUGUUUUCUAUAAUUGUAAUACAACUGCCUGAUUGAAACCAAUAUAACUUGUUUAGCCUCCUGACAAAGCCCUGCCUACUCAUUCAUGUGUAGGAACUAAAAGCCAAAACUGCUCAAGUGAUCCUAAUCUCAUGUCUAAAUACCUGAUCACAUGUACAGUCAUGUUGCUUUGACUUCAUGUUCCUGAUGUCUGCUGUCCUCACUCAUCUGAAUUUGUCUUAUGGAAUUGUGAAACUUUUAUACAAAUAACUGCAUUGUGGACUAAGUUCAGUGCAAAUGCAAAGUAUGUCUUGACUUUUCCACAUUUUCUCCUGCCUGCAAAAAUACAGAUUUUGUCGCUAAGACAUCUUAAAUGACCUUUAGCCUCACCAGUUUGUUUCUGUCCUGUUAUGCUCUGUUUAAGUUCUGAGGUUUUUAUGCUGAUCAUGUAAUCCCCCAUGUAAAGUGCCUUGAGUACUUUAAGUGCUAUAAAUAAAAAUGUCUGUAUUUCUGGUAAUUUAAAA